UACGGAGGAUCCAAGCGUUAUCCGGAUUCAUUGGGUUUAAAGGGUGCGUAGGCGGAAUAAUAAGUCAGUGGUGAAAGCCCUUCGCUUAACGAAGGAACUGCCAUUGAUACUGUUAAUCUUGAGUACAUUUGAUGUGGGCGGAAUGUGUCAUGUAGCGGUGAAAUGCUUAGAUAUGACACAGAACACCGAUUGCGAAGGCAGCUCACAAAACUGUAACUGACGCUGAGGCACGAAAGCGUGGGUAUCAAACAGG
rnacentral:rRNA from 1 species